rnacentral:rRNA from 1 species
CCUACGGGAGGCAGCAGUGGGGAAUAUUGCGCAAUGGGCGAAAGCCUGACGCAGCGACGCCGCGUGAGGGAUGAAGGUCUUCGGAUCGUAAACCUCUGUCAGCAGGGAAGAACGGUCACUGUGCUAAUCAGCAGUGAAUUGACGGUACCUGAAAAGGAAGCACCGGCUAACUCCGUGCCAGCAGCCGCGGUAAUACGGGGGGUGCGUGCGUUAAUCGGAUUUACUGGGCGUAAAGCGCUCGUAGGCGGUAUGUCAAGUUCAGGGGUAAAUCCCCGCGCUCAACGUGGGAACUGCCUUUGAAACUGGCAAACUUGAGUGUGUGAGAGGAUAGUGGAAGUCCAGGUGUAGGAGUGAAAUCCAUAGAUAUCUGGAGGAACACCAGUGGCGAAGGCGACUAACUGGCACAUAACUGACGCUGAGGAGCGAAAGCGUGGGUAGCAAACAGGAUUAGAUACCCCUGUAGUC